CCACAAUGGGGGAAACCCUGAUGGAGCGACGCCGCGUGCGGGAUGAAGGCCCUAUGGGUUGUAAACCGCUGUUCAGUGGAAAGAACAUCCUCCGGCUGAAUAGGUCGGAGGCCUGACGUUACCACUGCAGAAAGUCCCGGCCAACUCCGUGCCAGCAGCCGCGGUAAUACGGGGGGACGAGCGUUGUCCGGAAUCAUUGGGCGUAAAGGGCGCGUAGGCGGCGAGGAAGUCGAAUGUGAAAUCUUGCGGCUCAACUGCAAAACUGCGUUCGAAAACUUCCUCGCUUGAGUAUGAGAGAGGUGUGCGGAAUUCCUGGUGUAGCGGUGGAAUGGCGUAGAUAUCAGGAGGAACACCGGUGGCGAAGGCGGC
rnacentral:rRNA from 1 species